AGGGAAUCUUCGGCAAUGGACGGAAGUCUGACCGAGCAACGCCGCGUGAGUGAAGAAGGUUUUCGGAUCGUAAAGCUCUGUUGUAAGAGAAGAACGAGUGUGAGAGUGGAAAGUUCACACUGUGACGGUAUCUUACCAGAAAGGGACGGCUAACUACGUGCCAGCAGCCGCGGUAAUACGUAGGUCCCGAGCGUUGUCCGGAUUUAUUGGGCGUAAAGCGAGCGCAGGCGGUUAGAUAAGUCUGAAGUUAAAGGCUGUGGCUUAACCAUAGUACGCUUUGGAAACUGUUUAACUUGAGUGCAAGAGGGGAGAGUGGAAUUCCAUGUGUAGCGGUGAAAUGCGUAGAUAUAUGGAGGAACACCGGUGGCGAAAGCGGCUCUCUGGCUUGUAACUGACGCUGAGGCUCGAAAGCGUGGGGAGCAAACAGGAUUAGAUACCCUGGUAGUCCACGCCGUAAACGAUGGGUGCUAGGUGUUAGACCCUUUCCGGGGUUUAGUGCCGUAGCUAACGCAUUAAGCACUCCGCCUGGGGAGUACGACCGCAAGGUUG
rnacentral:rRNA from 1 species